CUGACCGAUGUGGCCAGGAACUGUCACUAUCGGGUCAACAACAAGUUGGACGAGGAUCACCCACCACGGCCCAUGAGGGAGAUUGUCCGUGCCGCCCAUAAGAGGCUUGGUGAGAAGGCAGAGUACAAUGUUCUGAGGAAGAACUGUGAGCACUUUGUCACCGAACUGAGAUACGGCGAGCCUACAAGCCGGCAGGUUCAAAACGCCGCAAUGGGAGCAGGGCUGGUGUCAGCCUUAGGUGCGGCUGCUAUUGGAGCAGCCACCCUUGCUAAUUCUGUAAUGAGGAACUGAUCCCACACCAGUGACAGCCUGAAGAAACCACAGGAUCCUGCCCUCGAAGCCGCUGACCAGCCAGAACCCCCACCUCCGCUGCCUCCCUGACCCCGGCUCCCGUGCAGCCUGCAGUUGUGUCCCUCCUUCUCUCCCGCUCGCUGACCGAAGGAUGGAAUAAUUGUACCAAGACCUAGAAUGAAUAAAUGUAUCUGCCUUUCCCUUCACAGAGGAA